UACGGAGGAUGCGAGCGUUAUCCGGAUUUAUUGGGUUUAAAGGGUGCGUAGGCGGUCAGGUAAGUCAGUGGUGAAAUCUCCGUGCUCAACAUGGAACGUGCCAUUGAUACUGUUUGACUGGAAUGGGGAUGCCGUAUGCGGAAUGUGUGGUGUAGCGGUGAAAUGCAUAGAUAUCACACAGAACACCGAUUGCGAAGGCAGCAUACGAAUCCUUGAUUGACGCUGAGGCACGAAAGUGUGGGGAUCAAACAGG
rnacentral:rRNA from 1 species